rnacentral:lncRNA from 1 species
UUUGAUUGAUCUUUGAGCUUUUUGUCAUCAUCUUUUGUUAUCAUCAUUGUUAUCAUCAAAACACCUUUGAAUCACCUUUGAUUCACCAUGAAGCUUUGCUUCUACAAUCUCCCCUUUUUUGAUGAUGAAAACUUCUGAAAUCAAGAAACACACACACACUUUUUCCUAGUCGAUCACUCACAUAAAUUCUCCCCCUUUGUUUUUAAAUUUGUACAUAUCUUAAAAUUAAAUUGAUUACUCAUGUGAGUUCUUGAUUUUAAUCCCAUUUC